rnacentral:rRNA from 1 species
AUUGAACGCUGGCGGCGUGCUUAACACAUGCAAGUCGAUCGGUAACAGGUGUAGCAAUACAUGCUGACGAGAGGCGGACGGGUGAGGAAUAUUUGGGAAUCUGCCCAUCAGCGGGGGACAACCCGGGGAAACUCGGGCUAAUACCGCAUACGCUCUACGGAGGGAAGCCGGGGACCGCAAGGCCUGGCACUGAUGGAUGAGCCCAAGUCGGAUUAGCUAGUUGGCGGGGUAACGGCCCACCAAGGCGACGAUCCGUAGCUGGUCUGAGAGGACGAUCAGCCACACCGGAACUGAGACACGGUCCGGACUCCUACGGGAGGCAGCAGUGGGGAAUAUUGGACAAUGGGGGAAACCCUGAUCCAGCGACGCCGCGUGGGUGAAGAAGGCCUGCGGGUUGUAAAGCCCUUUCGGUAGGGAAGAAAUCUCUUGUCUUAACACGGCAGGAGUUUGACUUAACCUACAUAAGAAGCACCGGCUAACUCUGUGCCAGCAGCCGCCGUAAGAC